CUUUACUGCAGAUUCCUCAGAGCCUUUCAUAUGUUCUAGUGCCUUGUGAAUCGCCAGAGAAUUUCCCAAAUGCAUGUGACGACAGAGCUCUUUCUCUCGUAGGAGAUCGGGACCAGCUUUCGCCAGCACCGUCUUUGGGAAAUGCUGCUUGUGCAGUCCUCACCAGCCCCACCCAUCACACGGAGCAUCGGAAAACUUGGCCCCCAUGAGGAGCCCGUAGCUGAGGUUGUCCGCACAUCCUCCCCAGCGGUUCCCGGGCCCGGGUGGCUCACCUGGGACGGGGCCGCAGGAGCAGCCGGGCAGGUCGCCGGAGGUGCAGGCCCGGGCGAUGGCGUGGCUGAUGGCGGCGGCCGACAGCGCAUACACGAAGGCCGACUCCCGGGUCCCUGAGGGUGGGAGGGGAAGGUCAGCCGACGCUGAUCCAGGGCUAGGACCCUGCCCAGGUCAGAGGUCCUCCACCUUCGCCCACACCCUGCUGUAACCAAGGUGACGCCAGCAGGGGUCGGCACUAGGGCCAUUGAGAUGUCACCCCUGCUUCCCCAAUUCCUUCUGAAUAUACCAGCUGACAGCCACACUCAGGACCCCACACCCACAGGCAUGCCCUCACCCACGU
ensembl:lncRNA novel transcript